GGCAACGGCCAUACCACGUUGAAAACACCGGUUCUCGUCUGAUCACCGAAGUUAAGCAACGUUGGGUUUGAUUAGUACUUGGAUGGGUGACCGCCUGGGAAUACCAAAUGCUGUUGUCU
rfam:Macrostomum lignano uti_cns_0011447, whole genome shotgun sequence.